UACGAAGGGGGCGAGCGUUGUUCGGAAUUACUGGGCGUAAAGCGCACGUAGGCGGCUUUGUAAGUUAGAGGUGAAAGCCCGGAGCUCAACUCCGGAACUGCCUUUAAGACUGCAUCGCUAGAAUUGUGGAGAGGUAAGUGGAAUUCCGAGUGUAGAGGUGAAAUUCGUAGAUAUUCGGAAGAACACCAGUGGCGAAGGCGACUUACUGGACACAUAUUGACGCUGAGG
rnacentral:rRNA from 1 species